AUGUACAUUCCUACAACAUAGCGUUAAUGCACCAGAUCUCAUUAGAACUACGCAGUUAAGCGUGCUCGGGCUAGAGUAGUACUGGGAUGGGUGGGAAGUCCUAGUGUUUUGCAUG
rnacentral:rRNA from 1 species